UUUCAGGUUUGUGAUAUCAUAGAUUGCUAAUUGUAGCAAUAUUCAAACACCCAAAUGAAAAUUGUCAGAAGGAACUCGAGACAAUAAAUAGGCAGUAUCCAUUUGAACCUCUGAAGUACCUAGAGAAAACGUUGAAGCUAACGUACGAGGAAGGGAUUAAAAUGCUCAAGGAUUUCCGAUCCUAGCGGGAAAAGGAGGGAAACGGCGGCGCCCUUGGGCGUCGUUAUCCUUCUUGAAGGCAUCUCGGAAGAGUUCAUCCACUCAUCUCUGGGGUGUGGGCAAGUUGGUGGUAUAGUUUCGAGUUGGCUGAUGUCGGAAUUGUUGUUUCUUUUUUGUUUCUCUUCUUUUUUCGGGGCUUUGCACAAUUUUCCCUUUUAAAUCGCGUGGUUUUCGGCCUUGUUUUCCUCAUAAACAGGGCCAUUCUGUAAUUUUAUUUUCCUCUCUUAAUGAAUUGGGCAAAGCUCCUGCCUUUCUCCUAAAAAAGGCCUUUGUUGGGUAGACAAUACAUCUACAUAUAACAACUGUGCAGACUACAAAUGUUUUCCCCAUUCCUUCCCAAAUUAGAAAAGGUAUAAUUAAGUUCAAUGACAUGUGGGUUUACCAAGGUAACCAAUCAAGCUAAACUGGAUUAGCAUUUUUUUCUACUCCCUCCGUCGUAAAAUAUAAGAGCGUUUUUGACACUAUACUAGAGUCAAAAACACUCUUAUAUUAUGGGACGGAGGGAGUAACUUCUAUGAAUGCCACACAAAUUGUAAUGGUAAUUUCUAUACAUGUGUGUGAUUUUGCAGCAUACCAAUGAAGCCUUAAAAAUAACUUGGAUUGGUAAAAAGUAAAAUUAGACGGUGGGAGCUGUGUUUCAUUCUGGAAUCCUCUAGGCAGGGUGCUUGCAAUCCCCUACAUCUCGGCUGCAACAAAAAAGACCCAACGAGGCUGUUGUUUCAAGCUCAGACCCUCUUCAUUGCACGCGGUGCUAGAAGGAGAACUGGGUUGUGGUGCUGUUGCUGGUCGUUUUCCUUUUUACUUUUGCACUUUGGCCGUCAUAAACGAUACAUGCUUGCUCCCUGGAUGGAUCUCUUUCUCUCCCUGGAUCUUUUAAACAGGUGUUGUGAUUAAAAUUGUGAUAAAUCAGUGUUCAUCACUAUUCUUUUUGGACUUGAAUAGAUCUAUGUCUAAAUUACACAUAAUGUGUAGGAGAAAAUUACUAUA